AGAUCACAAGGUCAUGAAAUCGAGACUAUCUUGGCUAACAUGGUGAAACACCGUCUCUACUAAAAAUAAAAAAAUUUAGCCAGGCGUGGUGGCACGUGCCUGUAGUCCCAGCUACUCAGGAAGCUGAGGCAGGAGAAUCUCUUGAACCGGGGAGGUGGAGGUUGCACUGAGCCGAGAUUGUGCCACUGCACUCCAGCCUGGGAAACACAAUCAAGACUCUGCCUCAAAAAAAAAAUAGAAAAACAAAACAAAAAAACAAGAGUGCUAUGGGCCAGGCACUGUGGCUCAUGCCUGUAAUCCAGCACUUUGGAAGGCCAAGGUG
rnacentral:lncRNA from 1 species